rfam:Chikungunya virus strain S27-African prototype, complete genome.
GUAGCCUACCAGUUUCUUACUGCUCUACUCUGCAAAGCAAGAGAUUAAGAACCCAUCAUGGAUCCUGUGUACGUGGACAUAGACGCUGACAGCGCCUUUUUGAAGGCCCUGCAACGUGCGUACCCCAUGUUUGAGGUGGAACCUAGGCAGGUCACACCGAAUGACCAUGCUAAUGCUAGAGCGUUCUCGCAUCUAGCUAUAAAACUAAUAGAGCAGGAAAUUGAUCCCGACUCAACCAUCCUGGAUAUUGGUAGUGCGCCAGCAAGGAGGAU